CCUUCAUCUCUAAGCAACUGAUCUCUUAGCAACAAGAAGCACCUUCAUAAGAGAUGCCACACAGAGUGGUCAUCAGAAAACCUGUUCUGAUCUUUAAAAGGAGCACACCCGAUAACACAGGUAGCUCUCAUCAGGAACUGAACGAAGUAAUAAGAAAAGGACACAGCUACAAAUCAACAAGAUGCACCAUCAAAGUAGCAAUCCCAAUGACCCAGGAACAACUGGUAACCUUUAAUAGGCUACACAUGGCCCCUGCAACCAUCUGUGGAGACUAAGAUGGGAUACAAUUGUGGAUCUUGCUCUUCCCAGGCUAUUUGCAGUGUUCCCAUACACACUAAAGUUGCAAAGAUAGAAGAAGGAAAAGCUGAGGGGCAGCAGGCAAGCUGAAGUGGUGUACCAGGAUACCAGAAUGUGAUUGAAAUCUUGGAGAUGGGGGAAAUUGCAUGGUGGAGAGUGAAGGAGGAGUUUGCAAAAAGACUGGAGGACACAGAAGUAGUGGGUCAAAUUCUCUCCUGGAAGUGGAGAGAGUGUAGCCCGUUAUUUUCCUUGUGCCGAUUGUUUAUUCACAGUUUUCCACUCUGAUUGUAUUUCACAGGGUUUGUUUGUUUAACUUUUCCUUAUGUUUCUAAUGUUUAUUGGUGUUUGACAGUAACCACUUAUAUUCAAAUUCUUUUUUUCAUAGAUUUGAAAUUUGCAUGUGGUGGUGGAGCAAUGACUAACAAGAUAUUUUGAAUGCAUACAGGUAUUAUAAAUAAAAUAAAAUUAACAGA